rnacentral:lncRNA from 1 species
AGCAGGCAUUCAUGAAAAACCCAGAAGACUGGGCUGUAAGGACACAUUUCUGUCCUGGCUUGCAGUCUUUGUCUCCAACAGAAGAAAGCCAGGAUAUUGUCAGUUGAACCUGGGACAGUUAAGGCAGUAUCAGAACUCUCUCUACCAGAACUGGACUUCAUGGGGGAGAGUAGAUCUGCAGAGCUUUGAAAGUGAGCAAAGAUGGUGUCACCUCUAUAACGAAUCUGGCCUCAAGUUGCUCCCAGGUCUUCCCUCUAGUACCUGAUGCCUAAGGCGCCUGUUCUCCUUGGCUAUGGAUGCCAAGAGUCCCUGAGCAUGCUGGGUGCACAUCUCUCCAUGCUGUGUGAGUCAGCCUGGUUCUUUGCUGUACUGUCACAUAAGCAGUAGUAGAGCCCUUUAAUGUCAGGGCACCAUGCCCAGCUAAUUCACAGGGUGCCUUCUCCAUGGAAGGCUUCAGGUUUGGAACUAACUCAGGUAUGGAAACAGGAGGGACAUAAUUAUCCUUGGUUUGGAGUAAG